rnacentral:lncRNA from 1 species
UCCUUUAUAAUCUGGCCCAAUAGACCUUCCAUAUUCAUCCACUGUAACAUUAUAAAGGUCGCACUUGCACUCAGUGCACCCUAAUUUAUCCUCUGCGCCUCGCGUAUCAAUGGCAUGAACAUUAAGCAACCAUUUAUCCUCAAACCCUUGUGGAAUCUCUUCAGGAUUACCUAUCUCUAUACCGAAAGGAUCUGGAAUAUCUGUUGUCGUUCCUCGUGUUUCUGACCCAAGUCCAAAGUAUUGUGAAAUAGCAUUUCCCUGGCAUAUGCCACUGUUCCUUACAAGAACAUGAUCAGAGUUUUGAAGCAUCAUGUGGCUAACAUCUUCUGUGUGUGUGACAUAUUUUCUUUGAUAAUGUCUUUGAACAAGCCAAUGAUGGAGAUAGGUUUCAUGGAGAGGUAUAGGAUUACCAGCAUCAUCAACUACUUCAGCAUUGAAACUCUUUAGUGCUAUAUGCCCUCUUGGAAAAUCAAUAUCAUAAUAAUGUUUAUUGAUAACUGAUCCAGGUCCAAGUUCAAACUUAGGGGACAGAAAAACAGCUGAUUUGAUUUUAUCUUCGGCCUUCACAAAGGAACUUGAGCAUGUUGUACCAAACAAUAGUAGAAGUAUUGCCUCUAAAAAUACAAAAUCUCUAGAUACAAAACACAUGCUGAUCUGUCAUGGAGUUUUUUUAUUAGUAAUUCAUAAUUAUUGAUUAAAACAAAACAAAACAUCUUUCCUUUAAAAUAUUAUUAACUACAGUACAAAGUAAACGAGGUCGUGGAUUAAUACUUAAAAAAUAUUUAAAAAUCUUUUUUUUUUUUUUUUUGUGGCCGGGUUUCGAACUCCAUAUCUUGUAUAUUUUAUGUAUUGUCAAUAUCAAUUGAUCUAAACUCACGAGGACAAAUAUUUAAAAAUCUAACGACGAAAUAUGUCGUUUUUUUUUAUUUUUUUAUUUUUUUAUAGUAAAUGUUAAUAAUCUUCAUCAUUUUUAUAAUUGAAAUAAUAUUUCUUUUUAGUAAGUAACAUAAUUGCUAGACUUACACACUAACGGUGUAGAGAAGUGGAAAAUCUUUAGUUUAAACCUUUGCCCCUGUAGUUAAAUGUUCUUAGAACUAUCAAUUAAGCUGCAUUUAUAAGAUUGAAAUAAUAAUUUAACUGAUAUUCAUUUUAUUUAAAACAACGAAAAAUAAAUAUUUAACUUGUAUUCAACCAACAUUAAUCAAGUCACUGUUUUAGCCGUAAAUAAGACAAAUGUCACAAAUUUUUAUUUCUAAAUAGUGUUGUUAAUAAUCGUUAAUAUUUCAGAUAAUCUUAAGCAUCGGUUCAUGAUAUAAAGAAAAAUUUGUCCAUAAAAUUUCCGUGAGCUUAGAUCAGUUGGUAGGGAUAUUGCAUGUUAUAUGUAGGGGCCGGGGUUCGAACUCCGAACACCCCAUUUCUACACAUUUAAUUGUGUGAGCUCUAUCCACUAGGCUACUUGACAUAAAGAAAAAUUUGUCCAUAAAAACACUCGACUGACAUAAACUAAUGAUCAAAACACUAGUAUUUUUUUAUUACUCCCUCUCACCAUUUAUAUGACAUCUUUUCCAUUUCUUUUUAAAAAUAUUUCCACUAUUUCUUUGUCAUGUAAUUUAAGACUUUUUAAAAAAAAUAUUAAGAAUUUUUUUUGAGAAAGGGGAAUCUAUUAUUAAUAAGUGGCACUAAAAUAUUUUUUUAAUGGCAAAAUAUAUUACUCUCUCCCUUUUAUAUCUUAAACACCAUUUUAUUAGAGCUAAAGGUUGCUUACAUAUAAGGGGAUUAAAUCCCAAGUAUUACACCAAAAAGAGAAAAAUAAAAACACCAAAAAAAACUCCAAAGAAAAACAAUCAGCACCCUUAAAAUGUCGGAUCACCUAACAAUAGCUCCUAAAAAACCAACACCACCGACAAUGGACAAUUAAGCAACCGAUAAUGAUUUUGCACUAAAGUAUUUUUACAAUUGUCUUCGAGAAGACUCAAAUUAAUACCUUAAAAUCAUGUACAAUAUCAAACUUUUACCACUAAACUAGCACAUCGAAGUAUUUUUUCACAAAAUUUCAUGUGCAUUGAUAAUUUUUUUUUAUAGAAAUGCUCCCUUUUAAUUUACCAAUAAAAAAAUAGAUACAUAUUGUCUUUUAUGAUAUUAAUAGUUUAUAGGGAAAAAUAUGUAACACGACACACAUUUCAGUCAAACUUACUACUCCAUAUAUAAUUUUUCUUAGGCUUAAAUGCACUUUUGACCCCCUAUGUUUGCUAUGGUAGAAAUUUUAGCCUCCUAUUAAAAAAAAAAAAAAAAUUCAGCCCCCUAACUUCAUCUGCUUUUGCAACCCAUAAGCCCCCUCUGAUUUUGACUUGGUCAAAGGUUACUGUGUAAUUUAAAAUAAAAAUAACAAAAAAAAGAAAUUAAAAAUAAUUAAUAGCCUUAGGAUUAAAAAUCGGUGAUCAAGAUUUAAAGAACUCACAUGCUCCCUCUCUUAACUAAUUUUCCCUUCUCCACUCAUUACUACUUCAUGUUCUCCUUCUGAACAACACAAACCCACCCAGAAAAGUCAAGCUCGAUCAGUCUCCAUAUCAUCAACACAUAACCAGAAACUAGAAAACUCCAUCACCUUCAUAUCCAUCGACACAAAACCAAAAAACCUAGAACAAGGACAAGAACAUCAUCUUCAUAACUCAUCACCCCAAAAAAAUCAAACCCUUCGAUUCUAAAUUCAAAUUCAUCAACUAAUCAAACCCAAAAAAACUCAAAGGUGCGAAUAAAUACUCAUGGUGAGUGGCUUGUGGUAAAUCGUAAAAAGAAGAAAACUCCACCAAUUACAGUGAAGAAAAAAUAGAUGGGACAAUUAAUUAGAAACUCAAAAAACUUGGGUGCAUUCAAGUUGCAAUUAAAGGAGGAAUUAAGUCAAAUGAUAAUUAUGAAGAAGGAAGGGAUAAGGCGCAAAUCAUGUCCGAUGGAGGAAGUGAGAAACCACAAAAAACGUGGUGAUGUGGAACCACAAUAGCAGAAUUUUAUGGAACACCGCGCCGGUGUUCUCAACCUUCCAUUAUUUUUUGUUUGAAAUUGAUUUUUCUAAUCUAGAUCUGGAUGAAAAAUAGAGGAAGAAAGAGAAGCGAUUGAAGAGGUGACGGUGGCCGUGUUUUACAUAAAGGGUGACCCUUUAGUGAAGGGAAGUGGCGGUGGAUAGUCAUGGUGGUGGUGGAAUUUCUCUAUGAAGAUGAUGUGAGAACAAGAGAAUAGAAGAAGAAAUGGGGUUUAUUAGAAAGAAGGGACACAAUAACACUUACAUUGAAUCUUUUAAUGUUGACCAUUGAUUUAAUCCUAAGGCUAUUAAUUAUUCUUAUCAUUCUUUUUCAUUUAAAUUUAAUUUAGUAAUAGCCUUUGAUCAGGUCAAAAUUAGAGGGGGUCAAAGAAGGGUGAAGUUAGGGGGCUGAAAAGUGAUUUUUUUAAUAGGGGACCAAAAUUGUUACCAUGACAAAUAUAGGGGCCAAAAAUGCAUUUAAACCUUUUUGUUAAUAUUCAUAAUUUUAUGUAGAGGUUCCUGCUUCCUAUGAUAAGGGACGAAUGAAGUAUAGACAAAGCCAUGAAUAACAUUAGACGCUGAUUAGAGAAACGUGAGUGAAAAAGGGUGGAGUAUAGUGCAGGUAUAUUGAAGAACAAAUAUAUGAAAAACUAAGGGGGGUGUAUUGAAUUGGGAUUUCAAGGGAUUUUAAAAGACUUUUUUAGAAUGAAAAAGUCUAGUGGUAUUCAAUCAAGACUUUUAUAAAAUUUAAACAAAUCUUGUGGUAUUCAAUCAAGACAAUCAUGACUUUUUUUUUAAGGCAACAAAAUCCGUUGGUAUUCAAUUGAGAUUUCUCAUGACUUAUGAAUUGUCCAUUGGUAUUCAAAAGUCUAUAGAUUUUGAUGGAUUCUUGGAUGGAAUGGAUUUUGUGAGACUUUUUAGUUAAAAAUAUCUCUUCCAACAAUCUCACAGAAACCCUUGAGAUUUUGCCAUUGUCUUGCAAACCUUUCUGCCGUCAUCUUCCAUGCCAGUUUUUUCUUUUCUCUAUCAAAUUCUUCAACUUCCAUUUCUUGUGUCUGAUUCUCUUUUUUUUUUUCCAUUACUUUUUUUUUGUUUCAAUUACUUUUUUUUAUCUGUAUACUCUUUUUGUCCAUAUCAAUUACUAUUAUUUGUUUUUGUCUGAUUCUUGCCAAUGCAAUUUUUUUUGUUCGGUUAAUUUUUUUUGUUCAAUACUAUGCUAUGCUAAUCUUCCCCGUCCCCAUCGUCCCUCAGAUUAUUUUUUCAUUGGCAAAUUCGUCAACGCCGAUUGCUUUUUUCCUUCCCACGUUCAACGGUGUCGAUGGAACGCGAUUAACCAAUCGUCCUUACUUUUUUUUUUUUUUUUUUUUUUUUUUAUCAAAUCAAUGUUUUUUACUCAAAAGCAUAAUUAUUUUUAUAGUUUUUGUCUUCUUUUUGUUCGAUUAAUUUUUUUUGUCUGAUUCUUGUCAAUGCAAUUUUUUUUUGUUUGAUACUUGAUUUUUGUUUAUUAUUAUUAUGAGUGUUAAGUUUAUUAUUGGUAUUUUUUUUCUUGUUAUUCCUAUUGAAUAUAUAUAUUGGUAUAUAGUUACUAUACUUUUGGCAAUUAGGAAAAAAAAACUGUUCUUGUGAAAUAACUAGUUUGUUAUAUAUGUAUAUAUUAGUGAUUAAAUGGGGGAUUCACAACAAGAAAAUAAUAGAGGGAAGGGUAAGGACAAAGAUGGCUAUGUAGCUUGGACCAUGGAGGAAACUAGUGAGUUGUUGUACCUUUUGGUGGAUGCUAUAAAUAGAGGGUUACGUGAUGCCAAUGGGUCCCUUAGUAAACAAAAUGUAGAGCGAGCUAUCCUUCCUCAGCUCAAUGCCAAAACUGAAUCACAUAAAACUUAUAAUCAUUACUUGAGCCGAAUGAAGUGGUUUAGAAAUCAAUACAACAAGAUGUCAACGUUUAUGCGUAACAACUCUGGUUUUGGAUGGGAUUCCGUUGCGAAGACUUACACGGCUACUGAAGAAGUAUGGAAUAAUUACUUAAAGGUGAGCUAAGUUCAAAAUCGUUUAAAAGUAUGAUUGAUUUUUAUUUUUUUUUUGUAAUAUUUAUAGUAUAUUAAUAGUGAAUUUUUUUUGUUUUUUAGUCCCAUCCAUCUCACAAAAAUCUUAAAGGAAAAAGUAUGAUUGAUUAUGAUUAUUUGAAGAUUGUUGUUGGAGGUGGAGUGUCUAGCGGAAAUAAUUCUAUAGCAUUAGACCCUGAGGAUACUGAUGCAACAACUUUUGAGCAAGAAAGUGAAAGUUUUGGAAUGGAAGAUUUUUCAUAUGAUCCCAAUAGUGAUACAUUCAUAGCACCAGAUAACUUUUGGUUGUACUUUUGUUAAAGUAUUUGGUUUGCUUUUUUUUUUUUGUUUAACUAAUGGUUGUAUUUGGAUUGAAGAAUUUAGUUCUGUAUGUUUUGUGAGACUAAUGUGGUUAAAAUUUAAUUAUAUUUUCAUUAUAGUAUUUUAUAUAUUACUUUGCAUUGACUCUUACACUACCUUAAAUAUUGUCUUAUAAUCAUGGCAAUGACAUAGAGGACGAAGAAAUUGAUUAUGAAGGAAUGAGUGAAGAUAUAGAUACUGAAGCUAUAGAUGAUGAUGAUGAUGAUGACGAAGAUGAUGAUGAUACAAAUGAUGAAGAAACAGAUGAAGAAUUGUAUGAAGCCAUAUACAUGUAUAUGAUGGCAAUUCAUGCUUUAAUGCACGUGGUAAAUCAGUUUUUGAAUAUGAUGCGUGGUGAACAUGUUGAACGUCCAUUAACUCGACGACGAAUUACAAGUAAGGGAUAUGACUAUAUACAUAAGUCAUUGAAUGGGGAUUCUGAAAUCUUUCGACAAGUAUAUAGAAUGUAUCCUGAUGUAUUCCGAAAGUUAUGCAUGAUUAUAAGAGAAAAAACACCUUUGGUGGAUACAAGAUUUAUUUGUAUUGAAGAAAUGCUUGCGUCGUUCUUACAGAUUGUCGGUCAGAAUACUCGAUAUUGUAUAAUUAGAAAUACAUUUGGCCGAUCACAAUUUGCUGCAAGUGAAAAUUUUCACAAGAUUUUGAAGGCUUUGAACUCAAUAGCACCUGAUUUGAUGGCUAAACCAACCUCAAGCGUGCCUGCAAAAAUAAGGGAAAGCACAAGAUUUUAUCCUUACUUCAAGGUAUGUGAUCAUUAUCUAAUUAUAAGAGAAUUGUAAAUAUAAUCAUCUUUAUUAUAAUAAUAUUUUUUUUAUGGUUAUAUAUGAAUACACUUUUAGGAUUGCAUUGGAGCUAUUGAUGGUACGCAUAUUCCUGCAUUGGUAAGAGGACGAGAUGUAAGCAGUUAUCGUGAUCGUCAUGGAAGGAUAUCACAAAAUGUAUUAGCUGCUUGUAAUUUUGAUUUGGAGUUCAUGUACGUUCUCAGCGGGUGGGAGGGUUCAGCCCAUGAUUCCAAGUUGCUAAAUGAUGCUUUGAAAAGGAAGAAUGGACUAAAAGUGCCCCACGGUAAGUAAUUAAUUUUUAAAAUAUACUGAUGUUGUUUUUCUUUCACUUUCAUACUUAUUUUAUAUGUAUUUUAAAUUUAAUUAGGUAAAUAUUUUCUGGUGGAUUGCGGAUUUGCUAAUCGACGCAAAUUUUUAGCUCCACAUCGAGGUGUGCGAUAUCAUCUACAAGAUUUUGCAGGUCACGGUAAUGACCCUGAAAAUGAAAAAGAGUUAUUCAAUCUUCGGCAUGCGUCUUUAAGGAAUGUGGUUGAGAGAAUAUUUGGUAUUUUUAAAUCGCGUUUCACAAUUUUUAAGUCAGCACCUCCAUUUUUGUUUAAGACACAAGCAGAACUUGUGUUGGCAUGUGCAGCACUUCAUAACUUUCUUCGCAAAGAAUGUCGUUCCGAUGAAUUUCCAAUUGAACCUUCUAACGAGUCUUCAUCUUCAUCUUCAAUGUUACCUAUUCAUGAAGACAAUAAUGAUGAACUCAAUGUUCAAACACAAGAGCAAGAACGAGAAGAUGCUAAUAUAUGGAGGACUAAUUUAGGUUUAGAUAUGUGGAGAGAUGUACAAGGAAUACCGUGAUACUACUCUAAACGGUGAUUCAGUGAAUCACAUUUCCCUUUUCAUAUUGGGAGAUGCUAAUAUCUAAAGAUAAUCUUGUUUUAAGAAACUUCAUUACCAGCAAGACAUAUUUUGCUUUUUUCCUAGUUUGUUAUUUACGAAAUAUAUUUUGUUUUAUCUUUUUGUUAUGCAGUUAUUUGUUUUUCUCUUUUUGAUGUACCGGUACAAGCUCGAUUUUGAAUCUAGAGAUCACUUUGUUUCGGAAAAAAAAAAUUAUUUGUUUACUAUUUCUAUCAUUCACGGUUGUAAGUUUGUUCUUUUUCCGCUAAAGUUCAUUGAAUCCUUUGAAAUAUUAAAAUCUCAUAAAAUCCUUUGAAAUCCUUAAAAUUCAGUGUGAUAAAUCCCAUAAAAUCCUUUGAAAUCCUUAAAAGUCAGUUUGAUAAAUCCCUUAAAGUCUUUUAAAAUCUUACAGAAUCAAUACAAUCCCACAAAGUCUUUUAAAAUCUUAAAGACUUUUUUUGUUAAAAAAGUCUUUUAAAAUCCUAAUCCAAUACACCCCCCUAAAGUAAAAAAAUGUAACUUCACACCAAAUUAAAUUGAGAUAUGAGUCAUUUGAAACAAACGUGUAAAGUUGUGAGAAAAAAAAUUAAUGAACACAAAAUUAAGAGAAUAGAACCUGGAUACGACAGAGUUUGAGCUUUGUUUGAUGAGAAAAUUAGAGUGUGGUGUUAAACUAGAUUCACUUAUACUUAUAGAUGAAACAAAUUCAAACUAGAAGAGAAGAUGUAUAGGGCUUGAGUUGCGUAUCUCACAUGAGAAAGUUCUUCACAGUCACACUAGUCAUUAUAUGCACGUUUUCUUCAUAAUUUAUUUUGAAAAUUGUUUUUCUCUAUUUUAAAAUUGUUCAUUUUCUAUAGUUAAUUCCGACAUUUUUCAGCUAGACUAAACUCUCAUUCUAUAAUGAGUAAUUUUUUUUUUGACAAUUUAUUCUUAAUUUUGUUGAAGAGUAUAUAUUCAAUAUUUAACUUGCAAUUGAGUUCUUAUUAAUUUUUAGUUAAUUAAUUUAAUGUUUUGAUUUUUUAAAGUCCACUUCGGCUAGAUGACAAUACUUCCAACUUACAAGUCAUCAAAAUUUCCCAACAAGGUGUAUUAUUUGAGGAAAACAAAUUGAGACUAUGGAAUAAAAAACAAGGUACUUAAGGGGUCAAAAUUGCAUAAUUGAAAAAAUGGUAUAUUUUCAAAUUGAACACUUGAAAAACCUAGAGAGAAAAAAUUGCAUCUAAACCUAAUUUUUUUAAUAGUACACUAAUUAUUUAUAGUGUUUUAUAUUUUAGGCUUAACAAUAAUUUUGUCCCCUAUUUUUACUAAACAUACACUAAAACACUUGAGGUUUUAAGGUGAACAGCAAUCUAGGAUGAGUUUUACACUGUGUUUGAUAGAAGAGAAAUAAGAAAGAGAGAAAGAGGGAAGAGAGAAGUUGGAUAGAGAGAAGCAACUUCUCCUGUUUAGUUGAGAAUAGAGAUUAAAGAGAGAGACCAAAUAUGGUGGAACCCAUGCCUGUUUUAUUUCUUUCUUGAAUUGCGAAGAAAUAGAGUAGAGAUGUGAACUUUUUUUGCUCUUUUCCAAAACUAUCCCUGGUAUUGUGGCUAAUAUAAAACUAUUGUCCUUUUUUUUUUUUGUUAACACUGUUGUAUUGUUUUCAUGGUUUUUGUUGUAGCAAGGUAAAAACAAAAACUAAUACGCAACUCUCUUUCCUUUACCUCUUGAUUGGAAUCCUCUUAUAUUAUAAUAAAUAAAUUAAACUAGUAGUUAGUUAACUCUAAUGAAAUAGUUUAACCGAUUAAAUUGUAAAAUUGUAAAUAAAUAAUUAAUUAAGCAAAUAAGUUAUCAAAUUUCUUUGUAAAAAAAUUACUUAGUUUCUUAAUUAAAUUAAUGUAAAAAAUUAUAAGUUAUCAGUUUUUAUAAGAAUUCAUAUAUAAUAAAAUUGUAUAUUAAAGUUUAGUAAGGAUAUUUUGGUCUUUUCAAAAGUUUAACACACUUCUCUCUUCUCUAUUUCUCUCAUUUAUCUCUUAUACUAAACAAUAGGUCAAAUCUACUCUAUUUCUCACCUAUUUCUCUCUUCCUAUACUCUCUCUUCACAACUUCUCUCUUUAUAACUUCUCUCCUAAACCAAACACACCCUUAAAGUUUGGAGAAGGCUAACAACUUUCACUUAAGGCAUUGUUUAGGGCUUGCUGUUAAGGUAUAUACAAAGUUUACAAAAGUAAGUUUAAUUAAAUAUAGUUUUUCAAAAUUAAGUUUGAUUAAAAUGAGUUUGUUCUCGUGUGCUUUUUCUUUGGAUAAGUAAACCAAGGCAUUUCAAUUAUGUUGCCACUUCUUAUUUACUGUUACCUAUCAUAUGCAUUUGGUAUGUUGCGGUUUACUGCUAUUGAUCAUUCUGUUUGUCAAAAAAUCUAUUUGAUAAACAAUAAUGAAGAGGAUGUAAAAUUAGUUGGCUAGAGCUCAGUUAGUUAACUAGCUGGUAGUUUCAGUUACAAUACUGUCUUGGUUACACUACACUGCCUCUCAAUAGUAGCCAUUACAAGUCCAGGGCUCGCGACAUGAAACACGCCUUGGCAUCGUUGCAAUAGCAUGGUUCAAUCGAGGAUUCUUUAAUUCUCUUGCUCCCAAUAUCAAACAAAGUGCGAUUUACAUUACGAUUACAAUGAAGCAACUACAUAGUAGAACAAACUUAUUGCAUAGCCAUACGAUACAAAAAAGAGUGGAAUAAGUACAAAAUACAAACUAUAUAUCACAAAAAUGGCAUCAAGCUUGUCUUUCUCCUAUAGCUAGCAGAAUACAGAUAGAAGUGUAAUUGAUCAGUUACACUUGUCAAACUUAUUCUUCUUUGAUCAAUCAUAUAUUACUUUGACACCAUCCAUGAAACUCCACUUAUAUUAUCAUAUAUGUAACUAAUUAUCUAAAAGUAUAUUAUUUAUAUCCAUAAAAAAUGAAGAACGAGUAGAAUGUCUGAAGUGUUGGUAUGGGAGCUGUUCUGCCACCAAUAGGUAGAAAAGUCCCAUUACUCCGGUGUGCUCCUUGGUGCUGUUGUAGUUAGACUCUAGAGUUAAAGUUUCACCAUCAAUAAUCUUGACAGAACCUGGUUUAGGAUAACAAGUGGACAUUCCUACAAUGUAUCCCGCUUCAUUUCCUGCUUCGCUUCCAUUUCCAUAACUUGGUAUAGAGGAACAUAUAACCCUUCCAUCCUGAAAACAUAAUCCACAAAUUUCACAAAACAAGCCACUACACAAUGUUUAACUUCUUGAUCAAAAGUAAAAUUGUUAGAAUAGCAACUCCGGUUCAAAAGUAAACAGAUAUGAAAAACACAAAAAGAGAACAUACGAAAUUCGAUAAUGGCGUUCGGUCAAUUAUGUCUACCGUUUAGUUUAACAUAUUACAACUCGUGUAUAAAUACUAAGGUCAAGUUUACAAGAUAGCCCUUGAACCAUACCCGUGUUAAUAAACUCAACAAAAAGAAACAUUGACGGUCCUCAAUAGCUAAUAAAUCAAACUAUUUUCUUGUUAGCUAAACAUUUCUUACUAUCAAUUGAAAACAAUCACGUGCUAAGACUAAAAAAAAAGGUGAUAAUUUAUAGUUUAUUUUUAGAGGAAGAAUCAUUAUUAGAAAAUGAUAUAUCAGUUAUACAAUUGUUCUCGAGGGGGUUUGAACUCUGUCUCUUGAAGUCACAAUGUCAAAAUAUUCCCAUUGAGCCGACACCAAGCAUUUAAGAAUGACUUAAGUUACCUGUCCAUAUAGAGUUGAUCCAAUUCCGCCUGAAUGUUGAUGAGCAGCACCAUAGAUCAUAUAGCCACCAGUUUGAAAUGGGAGACUUGUCCUCUUCACAUGAACACAGGAAUUUCCCUCCUUAUGGUCUGUGCUGCAAGAUUCAACUUGAUACUCAUUCUGAAACAAAGAAAACCAUGUUGCUCACUAUAUACCCAAAGUUUUAUGUUUUAGAGUUAAAUUGAGAUUUACACAAACAAAGUACGUGUAUGGAUUCCCUGCAGUCGAGAGACUCUACAUUCAUACAAUCAGUAACACAAUAACUGUUGGAUCAAGAUUGACGAUAAUAAAUUCCAUGCCUGCAGUAUUUUGGAUUUUAGAACAAUCGAAAUCUGUAUAUUUUGUGAAUUGUCUGAUCCUGAUCCAACAGUACACUGAUGGAUUGAUUGCGUGAAUGCAGGGCAUCCCAACUACACGGAACCCAUUUCGACAAACAUGUUUCGUAAUGAAUGCAUUUACCUUGCAGUCAUGAUCUGAGUUCAUUCCUUUUGAAUUAUCUGAUAGUUUCAAAGUAUCAGUAACAUCAAGUAUAUAUAUCUUAACAGGCACUAUAAAAUCAUCCCAAUCAACCCAUUUAACAGUGUAUCUUAAGUAGAGGCUUCUCUUUGGACCCUCAAAACCUUCCUUCAACUUGCACUGUUUAGAAUCAUAACAACAUAACAAACCUCCUUUAUAAUCUGGCCUAAUAGACCUUCCAUAUUCAUCCACUGUAACAUUAUAAAGCUCACACUUACACUCAGUGCACCCUAAUUUAUCCUUUGUGCCUCGCGUAUCGAUGGCAUGAACAUUAAGCAACCAUUUUUCGUGAAACCCUUCUGGAAUCUCUUCAGGAUUGCCUAUCUCUAUACCGAAAGGAUCCGGAAUAUCGGUCGCCGUUCCACGUGUUUCGGAUCCAAGGCCAAAGUAUUGUCCAAGAGUAUUUCCUUGACAUAUGCCACUGUUCCUUAUAAGCACAUUAUCAGAGUUUUGUGUUGCAUGUUUACUUUGAUGAUAUCUUACAACAAGCCAAUGAUGGAGAUAAGUUUCAUGGAGAGGUACAGGAUUCCCUGAUUCGUCAACUACUUCAGCAUUGAAACUCUUGAGUGCUACAUGACCUCUUGGAAAACCAAUAUCAUAAUAAUAUCCAUUGACAACUGAUCCAGGUCCUAGCUCAAAUUUCGGGGACAAAAAUACAGCUGAUUUUAUCUUAGCUUCAGUCUUCAUAGAAGAACCUGAGCAUUGUAUACAUAACAACAGCAGAAACAUUGCCCAUAAUAAUACCAAAUCUCUAGCUACAAAACUCAUGUUGAUCUGUCAGGGAAGAAAUUAUUAGUUAUUAACUAACUAAUUGUUGAUUAAAGACAUACCAAAACAAGAUAAAUAAGCAUGGUUGGAUCUAACACAAAACUGAUUUGUGGAGUGAGGAGUGUCUCUCUUUAUAAACUCUAUUCGUUAGACGUUAUCUUUAGUCUAUCUAUGUGGGACUUGGUUUUUCCAAAACACUGAGUGACCCGAAUCGAUAUGCUCUGAUUUCAUAUUAGAUUUUUAUAUUAGACUUCAUUCAUCCUUACAAAAUCGGUUUAUGAAGUGGGGUGUAAGUCUUUUAUAAACUACUAAAAUCUAAAUUAAUGUUAUGAAUGAAUACAAUUGUGGUGGUCACAGAACAAUUUUAAAACAUUAAUUAUAACAUAAACUUAUGAGCAGACAACUUUUUAUGAUGAAAGUAAAAAGGUUUACCUGGAUAAAUUUAUAGGGAUAUAACAAGCAAUAGGCAGAAACAACAUGUAAGAGAUUGCGUACCUCAAAAAGUUUGACGAAAACUUAGAGUGUGUGUAGGUCGGUAUCAACAUUCAAAGUAUAUUUAUAGAUUAUUAAUGAAUGAAAGUGUACUAAAGAGCCACCUCAUCACGUGAGAACGUUCAACUAAAUCUGUCCUUUCAAACUUGGAGGAGAAGUAAAGUCCAAACGAGGUAUUUGGAUUAAAUUAUUUGUCUGUUUUGUUAUUUCUUCAAUUGGAUAUGCGUUGGAAAAUCUAUGGUCGACAACUUAAGGCAUUCACCACCUAGUCGACACACUUGUUAUGGUUUGGCUAUAGCCGGCCACUCUAGAAUUUAAAAAAAAGAAAAAUGAGAAAUUUCUUUUUUGACGAUUGAAAUUAGUUGUUAAUAUGUUUAGCGAUUGAAAUUGUGAUUGAUAUUUCAAACAUUAAAGUAUAAGAUAUUAAAAAUUGGUCGCUACUUACUGACAAUGUAUACAUUAUACGGUCUAAAAAUUCAAUUUUGAUAUUUUUAUUCAAAAUAGUCUAUCCUAAAAUUAUAAAUUAUACAAUUUAAUUCCAACAAUCACAAUGAUCGCAAAUUUCUAAAAUUAUUAGAAGGGAGUUUUUUUUUUUUAUUUAUUUAAGGACUAGAAGGGAGUUUAUUUCUAGAGUUUAGAGCAUAUAUGAUAUCGAUUAUUAUGAUAAAAUAUAUGUAUUUUAUAUAGCAUUUCCUCUCAAAUGAAAAAACAGAAGAUACAUCAAGAUCACGAAACUUUAAUUCAUCGUUUAAUCUUAAAAUUUAGUAUUUCUACAAGUAUAUUUAAAACAAAAUUUAGAAGAAGAAACUCUAUUAAAAUUUUAGAUAAUUCAACGAGUUUAAAUUAAAGAAUAAGAAUUUAAAUAUGUUGGGUUCAAAUCUGAACAAAAUAAUAAAUAUUAAUAUAACAACUAAUUAUCAAUACAACCUUAACAAAAUAGAAAUUUUUGAGAGAAACUUUAACAAGUUUUUUUUUUUUUUUUUUGACAAAACUUUAACAAUACGGAUUAAACACGGAAACCAAAUACGGAUAAUUAUAGGUAAAUUUAUAAAUGCCCUAUAAAAUAAUUUGAAACAUCCAAAUACGGAUUAAACACGGAAACCAAAUUCUAUGUAUUAUGUUGUCACUUUUAUAUGCUGGGUCAGCCAUGACGUUUUAGAGCGACAACUACAAGGAGGUAGACAAUUUUGUUAGGAAAUAAAAACAAUAUUUUGAAAAGGACAAUAAAUCGAAUCAUCAACAUUUUCCAGGGUACAAAAAUCAAAUAGAAGUGAGAAAGUCAGAGGCACAAUUGGACCAGAGAUGAAUACUAUUGAAAAACAUCAAAACAUACCAAAAGUAUAACAUAACUUAUUUGAAUAAUAUAUCUGUCAAAAGUUCUUUUCAACUUCUAAUUAUAAAAAGUACUAUAUAAGAUAAUUUGGUGAAUGAAAUCCCUCAAAUGAAAAAUAGAGAACAAAAAAAGUAUGUUUGAAGUCAAACUUAAUUUGUUUUACAUUUUUCAUUUUCAAAGACAAAAACAACUUAUAAUUAAAAAAAAGUGUCACGCUAACUUGUGUUUUCAAGAUUACAUUUCUACUUUAAUUUUUUUUUUUUUUUUUUUGACAAAAUGUUUAAUUUUUUAUCAUGUAUCUUUAAGGUACAAGUUAUGCCUUCCGGCACAAGUUACCAUUUACUUUAAAAUAAAUGUCCUCAAAUACAAGAUGCGAGGAAAAUCUAACAGAUUUAAGCUGACUAAGCAAAAAAACAAAUUACGAAAACAAAGCAUCCCAACGAUUACUACGUUCAUUGUAGCACGCAAUCACUUUAACAAAUUGUGCCAUUCUCCAAUCACACAUACAAGACUCAACCUACAUAAUUAUGCAGAUCACUCUAAUGAGAGACCCUGCACAAAUCCUUUCCCAAAAACUUGCAGCCACACUUAAAUAAUUAAACCUUGCACCAAUUACAUAAAUGAAAGUACAUUAGGUUAUGAAAAAGUACUUCUGUUUUAAAUGCAAUUUGUCUACUUCAAACUACACUUAGAAAAUUCACUUUUUCUAAUCUCAUUAGGAUAUGAAAAUUGCAUAAAUUAUGUUGGCUUAAAUGUACUUUUGGUCACCCAAAUUCACUUUUUUUUUUUUUUUUUCUGAAUUUUUCAUCCUCAUAGCAUUUUUGGAUUUAGGUUUGUGGUCUAUCCAUUAAUGACGUGGUAGAGCUUAUAUGGCCCCAUUAAACAUCCAUACUGAUACCAUAAAAAAAGGACCUAAGCAAAAAUAACCUAAAGCAAUGUAUUGUGGCAAAAUUGGUUACUGUUGACGUAUGUUUUCGUAAGCAUAGCUUUCCCUUUCAAGCCAAAUGGAGCUUCUUCAUCAGCUCACAAUUAGGACUCUAAUCAGAUACAUUUCAUACUAAAUGGAAGUCCCUUUUGCAUUACAAUUGCAAUGAAGCAGGUACAUGGUAGAACAAACUUCUCACAUUAUCACAUAGCUAGCUGAAUAGAGAGAAGUGUAAGUAUUCGGUUGCCCUUAACAAUUAAUCACUCAUAUUUUACUUUGAUACCAUCAAUGACACGCCAUUUAUAUUAUGAUUUAAGUAACUAAUUAUCUAAAAGUAUAUUAUUUGUCCAUAAAAAAUGAAGAACGAGUAGAAUGUUCUGCCACCAAUAGGUAGAAAAAUCCCAUUACACCAGUGUGUUCUUGGCUAUUGUUGUAGUUAGACUCUAGAGUUAAAGUUUCACCAUCAAUAAUCUUGAUUGAACCUGGUUUAGGAUAACAUGUGGACAUUCCUACAAUGUAUCCCACUUCAUUUCCUGCUUCGCUUCCAUUUCCAUAACUUGGUUUGGAAGAACAUAUAACCCUCCCAUCCUGAAAACAUAAUCCAUCAAUUUCACAAAACAAGUUAUUGAUCUAUUAUACCAUGUUUAACUUCUUAAACAAACCAGUAUACAAUGAAAACAAGCACCGAUAGUCCUCAACUGCUAAUUAUUCACACCAUUUACUUGUUAAUUAAACAUUUGCUAACCUCAAUCGAAAACUAUUACAUGAACAAAUAGAAGGGAUUAUAUAUAAUCACAAAGUAGUGUUGUCUCGGAGUCCGACUAUACAUCUUUAAUCUCAAGUGUCGGUACUUCCAAGUAUUUAAGAAUUAGUAUAAUCUAUCUUUAACUAUUGGAAAUUACCUGUCCAUAUAGGGUGGAUCCAAUUCCACCUGAAUGCUGAUGUGCAACACCAUAGAUCACAUAUCCACCAGUUUGAAAUGGGAGACUUGUCCUCUUCACAUGAACACACCCAUUUUCCUCCCUAUGGUCUGUGCUGCAAGAUUCAACUUGAUACUCAAUCUGAAACAAAGAAAUCCAUGUUGCUCACUAUGAUACCCAACAAUGGGCUAGUGUUACAUUUAAGAGUUAAAUCGAGAUUGAGACAAAUAAAUUACUAAUUUGGAUUCCUAGCAGCCGAGAGACUCUACAUUCACGCAAUCAGCACAGACUGUUGGACCAAAGAUCAGAAGGUCCUAGAUUUCAAGCUCGGUAUUUUGGAUUUUAAUCAAAAUAAUCAAUAUUCGUAUAUUUUGUGAACUGACUGGUCUUGAUCCAACAUUCAUUGAUGCAUUGACUGUGUGUUUCUUGAUGAAUUCAUUUACCUUGCAAUCAUGAUCAAAGUUCGUUCCUUUUGAGUUAUCUGAUUGUUUCAUACUAUCGGUAACAUCAAUUACAUAUAUCUUAAGAGGCACUAUAAAAUCAUCCCAAUCAACCCAUUUAACAGUGUAUCUUAAGUAGAGGCUUCUCUUUGGACCCUCAAAACCUUCCUUCAACUUGCACUGUGUACAAUCAUAACAACAUAACCAACCUCCUUUAUAAUCUGGCCUUAUAGACCUUCCAUAUUCAUCCACCGUAACAUUAUAAAGCUCGCACUUACACUCAGUGCACCCUAACUUAUCCUCUACGCCACGUGUAUCAAUGGCAUGAACAUUAAGCACCCAUUUAUCCUCGGACCCUUCUGAAACCUCUGCAGGAUUACCUAUCUCUAUACCAAAAGGAUCCGGAAUAUCUGUUGCUGUUCCUCGUGUUUCGGAUCCAAUGCCAAAGUAUUGUCCAAGAGUAUUUCCCUGACAUAUGCCACUGUUCCUCACUUUCACAAUAUUAGAACUUUGAAGCAUCCUUUUGCCAUCAUUUCUUGUGUGUGUGACAUGUUUACUUUGAUGAUAUCUUCCAACACCCCAAUGAUGGAGAUAAGUUUCAUGGAGAGGUAUAGGAUUACCAACUUCAUCAACUACUUCAGCAUUGAAACUCUUGAGUGCAAUAUGACCUCUUGGAAAAUCAAUAUCAUAAUAUUCUUUAUUGAUAACUGAUCCAGGUCCUAACUCGAAUUUUGGGGACAAAAAUACAGCUGAUUUUAUUUUAUUUUCAGCAUUCAAAAAAGAACUUAAGCAUGGUGAGCCAAACAAUAGCAGAAGUAUUGCCACUGAAAAAUGAAACUCUCUAGGUACAAACCACAUGUUGAUCUGCCAGAAAAAUAUUUAUUAGUGAUUCACUAAAUGUUGAUUAAAGAAAUAUUAAAUAGAUACAGAUUGCAACAAUUGUAUUAUUUUCAUAAAAUUUUCUGACAAGAUACUUCAAGAGAAGGCAAUCAGAGAUGAGUAUAAUGAUCAACAGGUAAAUCUAGAGGUAGAAAAUAAAUCACAAAGAGACGUUAAAAAAUUUAAUGUUUUGACUGCUGUUUGCAAAGAAUAUUUUUAAAACCUUAAUUAUGACAUAAACUUAUGACCAAACAUGUUUUGACCAAACAUUUUUUCUUUUUUUUUGAAGGAACCAAACAUGUUUUUUAGAAACAUGAAAUUGGCAGCAGGAGCAUGUAAAAGAAAAGAACAUGAAAUUAAGUUGUGUACCUCAGAAAGAUAAUCUGGAAACGACUCUUAAGUUCUUUGAAGUAUGUUGUAGUCUUUGUGGCUUAAGUUCUAUCUUAAGCAUUUCUUUUUUAUUUUUUUGCUAAUCUAUCUUAAGCAUUUCUUGUUCUUAAUAGAUAGUAUUAAUAUAUUUAUUUCUUUGCCUCUUCAAAAAAAGUAUGCUGUCGUUUUUAUGUGCUGGGUCAGCCAUGAUGUAUUACAGCAACAUUUUUUAGUUUAUCUUGGAGGUAGGUAAGUCAAAGUGAGGUUUAUCUAACUUAACCUUGGUUAUAACCGGUUAUGUCAUUUGUCUUAGAGUUUCAGAGUUGAAUUUUUAAGCAAGGACAAAAGUUAUGGUGCAUAAGCCAUUUCCUUCUGCACAGUUCAUAAACACUUCACAACCAUCAGAUUUCUUUUAUUUUGUGUUUGUCAUUUCUCUCUCUACUCUUUUGAAAAACAAAUUUUCUCUCACUCUCUCUAAGAAACUGAUCUGGGAUGAAGUUUCAUCUUCUACACACCUCCGGCCGCCCUAGGGCAGCGGUGGCGCCGCCGGAGUAUUAGGAAAUGGCUCCGAUUUCAAAAAAAAAUUCACUUUUAAAAAUCAUUUUCCUUCUAUAAUCCAACUUCAGACUCGGUUUUCAGAGAUAAACAACCAAACAGUGUAGAUCUAGGUUUUAACUUUGUUCCCAUUCCUUUCGUUUGCGUUCGAUUUCCUUCUUCUUCUGCUCCUUCGCCGCCGCUUUCUUAUAUGCUUUCUUUGCUUCCCAUCUCUGCUGUCUCGCUAGCUACUUCUUCGUGUUCUUGGGGAGUUCUGAAGUGGGUUGUGAUGGUUCUGGGUUUGGAGGUGGAACUGUGGAUUCGGGUUCGUGAUUUUCACCAUAACUGCACGAAUUUCCGCACCCAUGGGCGGGAUUUACUGCUGGAAACCAUUAAGUACAUCUAAUAGUUUUGGAGUACAACUGCCGGAAACCAUUAAGUAGAUCUAAUGGUUUUCCACGGCAAAAUGGUUUUGGCAUUCCGGUACGGUGAUGCUAACAGUGAUGAUGAUGAACGACGGUGUUGAUGAUGAGAUUUAAGAUUCUGGAAACCAUUUCCACAACAAAAUGGGUUUGUAGUACAACUCACAGAAACCAUUUACACAGCAAAAUGGUUUUGGCAUUCCGGUACGGUGAUGAUGAUCAAUGACGGUGUUGAUGAUGAGAUUGAAGAUUCCAGUGGUGAUGAUGAUGAACGACGGUGAUAAUUCAGUUUGUUUUCACGUUUUGUUUGUUUUGUUUUGUUUGGUUUUCUUUGGGGGUGUAGGAAACAAUUAUGUUGGGAUUUAUGCACCAUAACCGAUCUCAUUUUUAAGUGGUGAUGGAAAACGUUAUAUUUAUCUUUUUUUUUUUAAAGAAACAAACUCAAUUCAUUUCAUUAUAAAUCAUGGACCAGAUACAUGACAGUACAUCAUUGUAGAGGUGGGAGCUAGCAUUACAUAUGCUAUCUUUGAUAGUUCAUGAGCGACCCUGUUAGCUUGCCUCUGCCUAAACUUGACAUGAGAAUUUAGAAAAUUGUUUUGAAACAAUUGCUUACAGACAUAUAUAAUACAACCGAACUCAGUGACAUCAUUUAUACAUGUUCUAAAGGAAUCAACAACCUUCUUAGAAUCUAACACAAAGUCUACAUUAUCAAACUGAAGGUUUGCCACCCAAUCAAGUGUCGUACAUAAACUCAUUGCUUCACCCGCAUUGACGUCACAAAGCGGGGAGAACCAGGUACUUUUUGCAAGCAUAAAAUUACCCUCUUCGCCUCUAAGACAUUCCAAGUCCUACCUUAUUAAGCGACGAGGAGAACGAGGCAUCUAUUUUUCAUUUAUACCUUCUAGGGGCCGGUUUUACCCAUUGUUACCAAGCUAUAAGAGUCGGCCCAUGUGGAUCAGAACUAGAGGGAGUUACACUACCUAAACGAAUGACUUGUGCAUGUCUCCAUUCAUCCAUCAACUACUUUGCACGCUCUAUAACCUGCACAUUAGUCUCGUUAGUUUGUUGCCAAAGUUUCAGGUUUCUGUGUUCCCAUAGGCUCCAUAGUAUUGCUGCAAAAUUUUCACUCUGUAUUGGAGUAAGUUGUUGCUACAAAGUAAAAAUAACAGAAUUCAUAUUAUAAUCCUGACGAAGCACACGAUCAAUCUUAUCCCAUAAAUUCACGGCAUGCCAAACUUGCACAGCACUCAAGCAUUCCAAUAAAACAUGAAUGAUGUCCUCGUAAUUAUUUCUACAAAUUACACAUUCGGUUGGACAAGACACACCUCUACUACUACGUUGUGCUCGAGUGGGGAAACGAAACAGCCCAGACACACGCCACAAGAGAUUUUUUAUCUUGGGGGGAGAUUUAAUGUUCCAAAUUAAGUCCCAACGACCAGAUUUAUGCAAAUGAAUAUUGUCAACAAUUUCAUUCAUACAUAUUCUGUAAGCACUGCGAACGAAAUACCUACCAUUUUUUCAGCCUUUCCAAACCAAUUUUUCACAGUCAAAUGGGCAGUAUGUUGAUCAAAUAAGUUAUAAAUUAAAAGAGCAUUUCAUACUCUUUGCUGCUCUCUUUCACAUCGUUCACAUUCAAUGGGAAACAUGGUUACUUAUCUAAACAUUUCUCUCUCAAGUUUACUUUACUAUUAUGGUUUUUUGGGAGUUUCUUCGCUGCUCUCUUUCACAAUGCCUCCAGUUCUUCUUCUUUCACUAAUUUUUUCCUUCCCACAGUUGUUACAUGGUAGAACAGACUUCUAGCAUAGCCAUAUGAAACAAUAUAGUGGAUUCAGCCAAAAUUACAAAUUUGUUUUUCUCCUAUAGCUAGCUGAAUACACAGAAAUGUAAAUUAUUCAGUUACCCUUUUCAAUCAUCAUGUCUUUAUUCAUCUUUGAUAAAUCAAUCAUAUUUUACUUUGAUACCAUCAAUGACACGCUAUUUAUAUUAUCAUAUGUGUAACUAAUUAUCUGAAAACUUUACAUCCACUACAAAAGAAGAACGAGAAGUAAGUCUAAGUUGUUGGUAUGGGAGUUGUUCUGCCACCAAUAGGUAGAAAAGUCCCAUUACUCCAGUGUGCUCCCUGGUGCUGUUGUAGUUAGACUCUAGGGUUAAAGUUUCACCAUCAAUAAUCUUGACAGAACCUGGUUUAGGAUAACAUGUGGACAUUCCUACAAUAUAGGUUGCCUCAUUUCCUGCUUCAUUUCCGGUUCCAUAACUUGGUAUAGAAGAACAUAUAACCCUCCCAUCCUGAAAACAUAAUCCACAAAUAUCACAAAACUAGUAAAUGUAAAAAAUACAGUGGUUACUUCUUGAUCAAAAGUAUAAGAAACACUGAUAGUACUAAAUUGCAAAUAUAUGAUGCUAUUCUCUUCUUUGUUAAACAUUUUCUACCCUUGAUUGAAAACUAUUACAUGAACAAAUAGAGGUGAUUAUAUAUGAUAAAAAAUGUCAAUAUUGUCUCGGUGUCCGACACUACGACACAUCUUUAAUCUCAAGUAUCAAUGCUAUAUUAGGUGUAAAUAUAGAAUCCCUCUUAAGGGGCAGAAUCAUGAUUGAUUAUACCCUUCCAGAUUGUAGUGGGAGACUUGUCCUUUUCACAUGAACACACCCAUUUCCCUCCUAUUGAUCUGUGCUGCAAGAUUCAACUGAUACUCAACCUGAAACAAAGAAAUCUACGUUGCUCGCAAUAUACCUAACAAACUACUGGACUAGUGUUAUAUAUGUUUUAAGAGUUAAACUAAGAUUGAGAAAAACAAACAAUGAGCAUGGAUUCCCUGCAGUCGUGAAACUCUACAUUCAGGCAAUCAUCGCAACAAUCACUGAUUAAUUGACUAACUAAAUGCUGAGUAUAUUCUACUACACGGAAUCUAUUUCCACAAACUAAAUGUUUCUUGAUGAAUGCAUUUACCUUGCAAUCAUGAUCUGAUUUCAUUCCUUUUGAAUCAUCUGAUAGUUUCAAACUACCAGUGACAUCAAUUAUAUAUAUCUUAACGGGCACUAUAAAAUCAUCCCAAUCAACCCACUUUACUGUGCAUCUUAAGUAAAGGCUUCUCUUAGGUCCUUCGAAACCUUCCUUCAACUUGCACCGUGUAGAAUCAUAACAACAUAACAAACCUCCUUUAUAAUCUGGCCUAAUAGAUUUUCCAUACUCAUCCACUGUAACAUUAUAAAGGUCACACUUACAUUCAGUGCACCCUAAUUUAUCCUCUGUGCCACGCGUAUCGAUGGCAUGAACAUUAAGCAACCAUUUCUCCUCAAACCCUUCUGGAAUCUCUUCAGGACUACCUGUCUCUAUACCAAAAGGAUCUGGAAUAUCUGUUGUCGUUCCUCGUGUUUCUGAUCCAAGGCCAAAGUAUUGUGGAAUGGUAUUUCCCUGGCAUAUGCCACUGUUCCUUACAAGAACAUGAUCAUAGUUUUGAAGCAUCAUGUGGCUACCAUCUUCUGUGUGUGUGACAUAUUUUCUUUGAUAAUGUCAUUCAACAAGCCAAUGAUGGAGAUAGGUUUCAUGGAGGGGUAUAGGAUUACCAUCUUCAUCAACAACUUCAGCAUUGAAACUCUUGAGUGCUAUAUGAUCACUUGGAAAAUCAAUAUAAUAAUAAAAUCUAUUGAUAACUGAUCCAGGUCCAAGUUCAAACUUAGGGGACAGAAAAACAGCUGAUUUUAUUUUAUUUUCAGUCUUCUCAAAAGAACUUAAGCAUGGUGUGCCAAACAAUAAUAGAAGUAUUGCUACUGACAAUUCAAAAUCUCUAGGUACAAACCACAUGUUGAUGAUCUGCCAGAAAAAUAUUUACAAGUAAUUAACUAAUUUUUUAUUAAAGAAAUAUUAAACAGAUGCAGAAUCAAGCUUUCAUUAAACAAGGAAGACAAUGUUUGCAAAUUGCACAUGCACAACAAUAUUAAAAAAGGCAAGAUAAACUACACAAAUAUGCAUGAAAAAACAUAGUUUGAACACAAUCAAUACGGAGCAAAAGCAUGCAGAAGAGAAGAUGGAAUGGCUUGAGUUGCGUUCCUCAGAAAGAUAGUUUGGAAAUGGCAGAGUUGAGCUUUGUUUGACGAGAAAACUAGCUACUAUUCGAAGUAUUUUUAUAUAGAAAAUGUACCUGAGACCCACCUCAUCAUCAUCACAUGAUAAUGUUCUUCACAAUCUUUCAUUUCACACUCGGGAAAGCAAUAUCAGAAUUUAUUAUUAGCAUGACUUCUUCAUUCUUUCAUUUUAAUAUAGGUCUAUACUUGUACCGCUCAAAGUAAUGGGAAAGUCUAUGUCAAUGUUUCAUAAAUAAAUUCAAUUGUUGAUAUUAUAUUACAUGUAUUAUAUCACAUGUAUUUCUUAUUAUGGGCUUUGAAAAUAUCAUAUCACAUGUAUUAUAUUAUUUGUUUGUAAAAAAAGUAUUAGUAUAUUAUAUUAUAUUUUUACCUCUUUUUAAUUGCAUUUUCUUUUUAUAUAUAGAGAAAGAAUGAAUGUUUUUAGCUUUUGAUAUAAUUAUAUCUUUUUCUUGUAGUCGUCAAAAAGAAUUUCUUUUUUUCUUUCUAAUAAUGGAAUUGCAUUAACUACUCAAACGGAUGGAAUUUGCACCAAGGGAAUCAUUACAUAUGAGAAUAUCUAACAAAGAUUUCUCUAUUACAGCUAAGUAGAAUGAGCUCGAUAUGCAAGAUGGUUUGCACAUUUAUUUGCAUCGCAGUUAAUAUGAUAUAACUCAAGUGCAUAUUUGGAGUAUGGUGCAAGUACAUGGCAGAUAAGAAAUAUUGGUAUAACCAUGUUGAAUCGUAUUCAUCGCUACUUUGAAAUCAAAUUCAAUUAACACGUGUAUUAGGUGCUGAGAUUGAACAAGUCCAAAGCCGGAAAGAAUUGUCCACGGCUCAGUUGAAAGUUUAUUUGAAGAGGUAAUUUAAAGCAUAAAAUCAUACACAAAUUUACCUUGUUGGUCACGAAUCAAGCCACCACAAGCCAAGCUUCCGACGCUGGUAAAAUAUGAUCCAUCUACAUUGAGUUUGAGUCGUCCAAGAGGAUGGAUCAAAUUAUGCUUCUGAUGUGCAUUGUGGAUUUCCUCUAUAUGUCUUGGGCAGUUGCAACUCAAUUACAAACAAGAUCAUGAACAAGAUUUUUAACUGAAUUUCAUAGCUUAUCUCCCGUAUCUAAUUGAUAAUGUAGAUUUUUACCCUAUUCAUUGUGAAUAUUUUUAUGGGUAUCUAUUAGGUACGAGUCCAAUUGUCAUCCAUAAGAUGUGUUCUAAAGUUACAUGCUAAGAAAUUCAAUUUAGAAUAUAUAAUUAUGAAAGAUAUGUACAUUUAAUUCUUUAAAGUUUACAAAUUUUUCAUUUCAAUACAAAAUUUAUACUUUGUCAAAAAAACAAAAAAAAAAUACAAAAUUUAUACUUUUAUAUUCUUUAAUAUCUAUCUUUAAGGUCCAGUUAACAAGACCCUAAAAUAUAUACAUUUUAUAUAACACUUCCUCUCAUAGAAAGAAAGGGAAAAAAAAAAUCAAGAUCACGACUUUUUAUUCAUUUUUUAAUCUUAAUAUUAUAUUUUAAAUAUUAUUUUAUAUUAAAUAUUUUUAUACUCACUUGUAUGAUGAUUAAAAAUUGGUAUUUGAGGGGAAAAAACAUCUUAAAAUUUAGAAAGAUAAAUAUCUAGUACAAUAAUAUCCUAUUAAAAGAAAGAGUAAUUCACAAUAUAUGUUUAUAUUAAUUUAUUAUGAAUGGCUUCCUGAUUAUUGUCACAAUUGUGCUACAAUUGGUCAUGACAUUGGUCGAUGUAAGUGGUUGCAUAAAAAUCAGAAUGUUUCCAACUAGGUUGCUAAGAAACAAAAAGUUGAAAAUAGAAACUAUAAGGAGAUGCAUUCCAAGCUGGAAAUGAAAAGGUUUGCAAGGGUAAGACAUUAUCUCGUGACGAUACUGUGCAACAUCCUCAGCGGGCUAGACAACAUGAGGCUGCACAAACUUAGCCUCAGAUUGUCUUGCAACAAUUGACUAAUGAUAUUGUGCAACCAACACGAUGUAGCAAAAUUGUUGUAGAUGAGGACCCACUUAUCUUAGAUAUAAUAAGGUCCAAAUAUAUGACAAUUAUUGUGCAUGUGGGAGAUGCUAUUGAGUUGGUGGAAGAGGCAUUUUCUAUAGCUGUUGAAACUCUUCUUGUGCAGCCUGUGCAGGUGAAACACACCUUAGUUCAUGAUUGUGAGAUUGUGAAACAUAACGGGGACCAACAGAGGAAUUCUUUGUGUAUCAAUGUCCCUUGGUGUGAUGCGGCGACCAAUAUGGACUACAGUCAGGAUCACACACGAAGUGAAUUUGAGCAGGAAUUGGGAACUGAUAGUUCCAUAGUUGUGACAGACUCUAACUUGUCAAACUUUAGUGCUAAUGUAAUUCAUGAAAUGCAAGUUUUAAGGGCUUAUUCCUACCGUAACCCAACAAGCUAUGGAUUUUCUAAGUGAUUCCUCGUUUAACAUGGGUCAGAAAGAAGAUACUGUUGAUUUGACAGGAAACACAAGUCAGCCAUUUCAAUUGGUGGAACAUAGAAAGAGGGAGAACAAGACGCAGCAGCCUCAUACGAGCAAAGGGUUCAAGAUGGGUGAUUCCAGCUGUUCGCAUCGCUAGUUCUUUGAUGGGAGUUCACUUUCAUACUUUUUAGGCCUUUUAACUGUUUUAGUUCUUUUUCCGCUUUUGUUUUUCUAGAGGGUUUUGGUUUAAUCACCCUUCCCUCUUUAUACUUUCUUUCUUUAUUUUAAUCUAUGAUCAGGAUUCUGCAGUAGGUGAUCCCUCUGCACCUCAUAUAGUAUAUUGUCGCUUUAUAUGCUGGGUCAGCCAUAUGAACCAAAAAAUAGUGAAUUAAGCCAAAAAUACAAAUUUGUUUUUCUCCUAUAUCUAGCAGAAUACACAGAGAAGUGUAAUUAUUCAGUUACCCUUUCCAAUCAUGUCUUUAUUCAUCUUUGAUAAAUCGAUCAUAUCUUACCAUAAUACCAUCAAUGACACGCCACUUAUAUCAUCAUAUAUGUAACUAACUAUCAGAAAAAUUUACGUCGGCGACAAAAGAAGAACGAGAAAAAAGUCUGAGUUGUUGAUAUGGGAGCUGUUCUGCCACCAAUAUGUAGAAAAGCCCCAUUACUCCGGUGUGCUCCUUGGUGCUGUUGUAGUUAGACUCUAGAGUCAAAGUUUCACCAUCAAUUAUCUUAACAGAACCUGGUUUAGGAUAACAUGUGGACAUUCCUACAAUGUAGCCUGAUUCAUUUCCUGCUUCACUUCCCUUUCCGUAAUUUGGUAUAGAAGAACAUAUAACCCUCCCAUCCUGAAAACAUAAUCCACAAAUUUCACAAAACAAGCUAAUAUACAAAUACAAUGUUUAACUUCUGGGUCAAAUGUAUAAGAAACAUCGAUGGUACUAAAUUGCAAAUAUAUGACACCAUUCUCUUCUUUAUUAAACAUUUGUUACCCUCUAUCGAAAACUAUUACAUGAUCAAAUAGAGGUGAUUAUAUAUGAUAAAAAAUGCCAAUAUUGUCUCGGUGUCCGACACGUGUUACACAUCUUUAAUCUCAAGUGUCGGUGCUAUAUUGAGUGUAAAUAUGGAAUCCCUCUUAAGAGGCAGAAUCAUUAUUGAUUAGACCCUUCCAAGUAUUUAAGAAUUACUGCAAUCUAUAUGUACUGUGACUAUUGCAAAUUACCUGUCCAAAUAGGGUUGAUCCAAUUCCACCUGAAUGCUGAUGAGCAACACCAUAGAUCACAUAGCCACCGGUUUGUAGUGGGAGACUUGUCCUUUUUACAUGAACACACCCAUUUCCCUCCUUUUGAUCUAUGCUGCAAGAUUUAACUUCAUACUCAACCUGAAACAAAGAAAUCUAUGUUGCUCGCAUUAUACCCAACAACUUAAUGGACUAGUGUUAUAUAUGUUUUAAGAGUUAAACUAAGAUUGAGAUAAACAAACAACAAAUAUGGAUUCCCUGCAGUUGAUAGACUCUCACUCUACAUUAAUUCAAGCAAUCAUCACAACCGUCACCAUUCCACAAACUAAAUGUUUCUUAAUGAAUUUACUUACCUUGCAAUCAUGGUCUGAGUUCAAUUCUUUUGAAUCAUCUGAUGGUUUCAAAGUAUCAGUAACAUCAAUUAUAUAUAUCUUAACAGGCACUAUAAAAUCAUCCCAAUCAACCCAUUUCACUGUGUAUCUUAAGUAGAGGUUUCUCUUUGGACCCUCAAAACCUUCCUUCAACUUGCACCGUGUAUGAUCAUAACAACAUAACAUACCUCCUUUAUAAUCAGGCCUUACAGACCUUCCGUACUCAUCCACCGUAACAUUAUAAAGCUCGCACUUACACUCGGUGCACCCUAACUUAUCCUCUGCACCUCGUGUAUCGAUGGCAUGAACAUUAACCAUCCAUUUCUCAUCAAACCCUUCUGGAACCUCUGCAGGAUUACCUACCUCUAUACCAAAAGGGUCCGGAAUAUCUGUCAGUGUUCCUCUUGUUUCGGAUCCAAGGCCAAAGUAUUGUCCAAGAUAAUUUCCCUGGCAUAUGCCACUGUUUCUCACAAGAACAUGAUCAGAGUUUUGUAGCAUCAUGUGGCUAUCAUUUUCUGUGUGUGUAACAUGUUUUCUUUGAUGAUAUCUUCCAACAACCCAAUGAUGGAGAUAAGUUUCAUGGAGAGGUAUAGGAUUUCCAGAUUCAUCAACUACUUCAGCAUGGAAAUCCUUGAUUGCUAUAUGGCCUCUUGGAAAAUCAAUAUCAUAAUAAUAUCUAUUGACAACUGAUCCAGGUCCUAGCUCAAAUUUCGGGGACAAAAAAACAGCUGAUUUUAUCUUAUCUUCAGUCUUCACAAAAGAACUUGAGCAUGGUGUGCCAAUCAGAAGGAGAAAUAUGGCCAAUGAAAAUACCAAAACUCCAGAUACAGAACACAUAUUG